AACGAACGCUGGCGGCAUGCCUAACACAUGCAAGUCGAACGAGACCUUCGGGUCUAGUGGCGCACGGGUGCGUAACGCGUGGGAACCUGCCCUUAGGUUCGGAAUAACUCCCCGAAAGGGGUGCUAAUACCGGAUAAUGUCUUCGGACCAAAGAUUUAUCGCCUUUGGAUGGGCCCGCGUUGGAUUAGCUAGUUGGUAGGGUAAAAGCCUACCAAGGCGACGAUCCAUAGCUGGUCUGAGAGGAUGAUCAGCCACACUGGGACUGAGACACGGCCCAGACUCCUACGGGAGGCAGCAGUGGGGAAUAUUGGACAAUGGGCGAAAGCCUGAUCCGGCAAUGCCGCGUGAGUGAUGAAGGCCUUAGGGUUGUAAAGCUCCUUUACCCGGGAUGAUAAUGACAGUACCGGGAGAAUAAGCUCCGGCUAACUCCGUG
rnacentral:rRNA from 1 species